rnacentral:rRNA from 1 species
AGCAGCCGCGGUAAUUCCAGCUCCAAUAGCGUAUAUUAAAGUUGUUGUAGUUAAAAAGCUCGUAGUUGAAUUUCGGGGUUAGCAGGUCGGUCGUGCCAAUGGUAUGCACUGGCCUUGCUGAUUCCUCCCUCUUGAUGAGCCGUAAUGCCAUUAAUUUGGUGUUGCGGGGAAUCAGGACUGUUACUUUGAAAAAAUUAGAGUGUUUAAAGCAGGCAAGCGCUUGAAUACAUUAGCAUGGAAUAAUGAAAUAGGACGUUUGAUCCUAUUUUGUUGGUUUCUAGGAUUGACGUAAUGAUUAAUAGGGAUAGUUGGGGGCAUUAGUAUUCAAUUGUCAGAGGUGAAAUUCUUGGAUUUAUUGAAGACUAACUACUGCGAAAGCAUUUGCCAAGGAUGUUUUCAUUAAUCAAGAACGAAAGUUAGGGGAUCGAAGACGAUCAGAUACCGUCGUAGUCUUAACCAUAAACUAUGCCGACUAGGGAUCGGAUGAUGUUAAUUUUUAAUGACUCAUUC